rnacentral:tRNA from 1 species
GGCGCUAUAGUGUAGUGGUUAUCACUUGGGAUUCUGAUUCUCAGUGUUCCCAAAACCCAGGUUCGAGCCCUGGUAGCGCCU